GUAGUCCACGCUGUAAACGAUGGGUACUAGGUUUGGUGGGUCUUGACCCCCGCCGAACCGGAGCUAACGCAAUAAGUACCCCGCCUGGGAAGUACGGUCGCAAGACUAAAACUCAAAGGAAUUGACGGGGGCCCGCACAAGCGGUGGAUCAUGUGGUUUAAUUCGAAGCAACGCGAAGAACCUUACCUGGAUUUGACAUCCUCGGACAACUCUAGAGAUAGAGCUUCAGUAGCAAUACUGCCGGGAGACAGGUGCUGCAUGGCUGUCGUCAGCUCGUGUGGUGACAUGUUGGGUUAAGUCCCGCAACGAGCGCAACCCUUGUCUUUAGUUGCCAGCAUUAAGUUGGGCACUCUAAAGAGACUGCCGUGGUGAACACGGA
rnacentral:rRNA from 1 species